rnacentral:rRNA from 1 species
CGGGAGGCAGCAGUAAGGAAUAUUGGUCAAUGGGCGCAAGCCUGAACCAGCCAUGCCGCGUGAAGGAUGACGGCCCUAUGGGUUGUAAACUUCUUUUGUACGGGAAUAAACCCAGGUACGUGUACCUGGCUGAAUGUACCGUAAGAAUAAGGAUCGGCUAACUCCGUGCCAGCAGCCGCGGUAAUACGGAGGAUCCAAGCGUUAUCCGGAUUCAUUGGGUUUAAAGGGUGCGUAGGCGGACUUAUAAGUCAGUGGUGAAAUCCUGCAGCUUAACUGCAGAACUGCCAUUGAUACUGUAAGUCUUGAGUGUGUUUGAAGUGGGCGGAAUGUGUCAUGUAGCGGUGAAAUGCUUAGAUAUGACACAGAACACCGAUUGCGUAGGCAGCUCACUAAACCACAACUGACGCUGAGGCACGACAGCGUGGGGAUCAAACAGGAUUAGAUACCCUGGUAGUCCACGCCGUAAACUAUGAUUACUCGAUGUUGGUCGAUAUACUAGUCAGCGUCGUAACGACUAACGUACGUUAAGUUAAUACCACCGUACGGGUAGGUACGGUACGCGAGAGUAGUAACGUACGAAACGAAGUUAGUACGGACGUAGAGACGUUGCGACGGACGACGACGAGGGAGGAGG